rnacentral:rRNA from 1 species
CGAGAGCCUCGAGCGUUAUCCGGAAUUAUUGGGCGUAAAGGGUGCGUAGGUUGUUCUGUUAGUCUUAUGUCAAAGCCCCGAGCUUAACUUGGGAAGGGCAUUGGAAACGGCAGAGCUUGAAAGUAGGAGAGGCGUACGGAACUCAUGGUGUAGGGGUGAAAUCCGUUGUUAUCAUGGGGAACACCAAAUGCGAAAGCAGUACGCUGGCCUAUAUUUGACACUGAAGCACGAAAGCGUGGGUAGCGAAUGGGAUUAGAUACCCCAGUAGUCCACGCCCUAAACGAUGAUCUCUCGCUAUUCGGAGUAUCGACCCUCUGAGUUGCUUAGCUAACGCGUUAAGAGAUCCGCCUGGGAAGUACGGCCGCAAGGCUA